rnacentral:rRNA from 1 species
AGGACGAACGCUGGCGGCGUGCUUAACACAUGCAAGUCGAGCGGUAAGGCCUUUCGGGGUACACGAGCGGCGAACGGGUGAGUAACACGUGGGUGAUCUGCCCUGCACUCUGGGAUAAGCCUGGGAAACUGGGUCUAAUACCGGAUAUGACCUGCUCUCGCAUGGGGGGUGGGUGGAAAGAUUUAUCGGUGCAGGAU